CCUGUAGUGUCUUGAGACACACCCUGGGAGAUGCCCAGUGAGUACUUUACAAGGGAAGUCUGGGACUGAAGACAUGUAUUUGAGAGCUGAGGCCAUGGCAUCGGUAAGACUUCACAGGGGGGGAAAAAAAAUCAAAUGCAUAGAGAAAGGAGAAGUAGGGAAAGCAAAAAGGCAGAGACCACAAAGCAUCUCCCCCAUGAAAGGAGCAAGUGAGACAAGAGGAAGUUAAAGAGCCUGGGAGUGAGCGGAGGCAGGGGUAGAUGUCAAGGGGAGGAGAACCAGAAGGCAAAACGGCUCUACUGUUUGUGAGGAAGGAGAGGGUUUCAGGAAGGAACGACCGGUCAACACUGUACAUUUUCAAAGGUCAGAGAAUUUAAGAGCUGAAAGUUGUGCAGUACGUUCUGAGAACUAAGAGGAAUUUGGAGACCUUCUACCGUGGAGAGGUGCAGGCGGAAGCAAGGAUUUGGUUUUCUCCUGUAUUUCUUCAACCAGAAUCCCCCGCAGAAGCUGGAGUGGAAGGUGCCCAGCAUGGUAACAACCAGCACACAGACAGAACCUGGAAAAGACAAUUUGUUAAUGUUUAUCCUGGCCAGGGGAGCAGGCUGCUGACUGACAGCCACAAAUUCUAUCCAAAAGAGAAGAGGUUGAUUCAUUUGGCUCUACUCGCCUGGGAUGAAAAAAUUCUUGCUGAUACAUCCCAGCCUUUGCUUGGCAGAAUGGUGUUCAAGGAGAGGUAUUGCUGGGGGUCGUCCUGAGUGGAUUGUGGGCUUGCUCAUGUAAUCUGGAAAGUGGGUUCCGAGCCUAAGGACUAUGACACGCAGACUUUGGGGUCUGGAAUUUGAACCCCCAUCGGUUUCCCCUACCCCCAAAAGGAAGGACAGACAUCUCAUGACAACUGAGAAUGCUCUCUUGGUCAGCAAAAUCAACUGUUGAAAUGAUUCCCUGCCGGAUGAUUCAGGCCAAGACAGGAAGGUCUCAGUCCAGUUACAUGUUAAUGGUGCGGGCAGUGCGCAGUUUCAUCCCUCAAAUCAAUCCUUUCUGUAAACUGUGCAGUGUUGGUCAAUGCUAGUCUUCCAGUAUCCAAUCAAGCAUAUCAUUCCCGAAUCCAGAUUUCCAACCCUACCUACAGCUUGAGAAAAGGACUGGCUCUAAAGAUGCAUUUGAGAGGCGCCCCGCUGGGUCAUCCAAUAAAAAACAUUGUUUCUGGGGGCGCCUGAGUGGCUCAGUGGGUUGAGGCCUUUGCCGUCCGCUCAGGUCAUGAUCUCAAGGUCCUGGAUCCAGCCCCGCGUAGGGCUCUCUGCUCGGGGGGAGCCUGCUUGCCCAUCUCUCUCUGCCUGCCUCUCUGCCUGCUUGUGAUCUCGGUCUGUCAAAUAAAUAAAUAAUUGGGUGCCUGGGUGGCUCAGUGGGUUAAGCCGCUGCCUUCGGCUCAGGUCAUGAUCUCAGGGUCCUGGGAUCGAGUCCCGCAUCGGGCUCUCUGCUCAGCAGGGAGCCUGCUUCCCUCUCUCUCUCUCUCUGCCUGCC